AACUGAACGAAGAGCGGCCAUUGCAACUUGAGGCGUCAGAAUGUGCGGAGUGAGUGUAGUGUGGAGCGGUGGAGUUGAUAAUCGAUUUAGAGCCAGAUUCGCAAAAGUUAGUGUUGGAUCGAUGAUUGAAUUAAAAUUGAAAUUUUCGAACGACAUCAGUUAUGGAUGACAAUACCACCAAGAGUUGAUGCUUUUCUAAUAUACUAAAAUUAAAAUUGAUGCUUGGGAGUUGGAAAACCAAACGCAGAUAAUCAGUGCAAGAAUUACUAUAUCUUCUUUUUUAAAGACUGAUUUUUACAAAUUCAAAGAAGCCUGAUUUGGCUUGGCUUAUGAACCUUAGUAUACAUUAGUGUUUUUAAUAUUUUUUAAAUUUCAUCACAUGAUUUAGAUACAAAUUGACGUUCGAUUUGCUUUAUAAUUUGAUUCUAUUCUUGUCUUGUUGUAUAUUAUUCAUCUUUCUGAAUAUUUACUGUUAUCUUAUUUUACUGUUUUACCAGAACUUAGUAUAAAUUAGUGUCUUUAAUAUUUUUUUUUUAAUUUGAACAUCAAAUUCACGUACAAAUUGACAUUCUAUUUGCUCUAAAAUUUGUUUCUAGUUUUCUCUUAGUGUUGCAUAUUUUCGUACAUACCGAUCGAAGCCAAAAAUCGAAAAUGGAUUUAUUUCAAAUAAUAAUGCUCAUAUUAAUUAUCUGCAUUAUUAAUUUGCUCUUAGCAUAUUCUAGACUUAAUAGUUUUCUUUUGUAUUUGGAUCAAUAUACUACCAAUGAGACUGCUGUAGAAAGCUCCUCUUACCAUAUUUACAAUUACACCAAAUUUAUGAAUUAUUCCAAGUUUUUUUAAAGUUAUAUAAACAUUGAAUAUUAAAAUUGAACAAAUCACUUCUGAAUACUGCGGAAAUGAAUAUAUCCGUUAUGUCACUGUAAUCAAUUCCAAAGUGCAGCGAUCAACACCCGAAUCGAUUGUAACUGUUCAGGAAAAUUCACUAUAAAUAUCUUGGAACAUGUUAUACGUGGAUGUGUAAACCGACGGGAUCCAUAAGUGGCUGAUUAACAUGUAUUCGAGAAUUGCCCACAGGAUUAUCAGGGAUAUGGAGGCAAAUGGGCGGCACGAAUCGACGCAUGCACUCUGCUUCGUGCACUCGACUUUGGACUCGUAAAAUAUCUUUGCACCGAAACUUUAAGAUUAAAUGAAAGGAAACAAUUUAAUAGCGUUUCAACUACAAACAAAUGAGUUACGAGAUACCUCAUUUUCAAUUUAAAACAAAAAUACAACAAAUGUUAUAAUAUUUGCUGAAUAAAAUAAAUUCCUAUUUAGGUUCAAUUUUUAUAGGCACGUUCGCGAAGAUUUUAUUUUGCAUAAAGAUCCGCAGUCUAAUUAUUAAUCUUCGUGUUCAUAGUAGAGAGCGCCGAGAAAAAGAUAACCCUAUUCGUGUUGCUCGAACCAAGAAGAUUACAUUUUCAUAUCGAGUCUUGGUACUGUUAAACACUAUACGCAAAAUUCACUCACUAGGUGUCCAAGUGAAAUUAGAUUAAGCUCAAGCAGCAAAGAUGACUCAAAAGGGAACAUCCUAACAACUACUGAAGUUAGAUGAGAUUCUUAAGACACGUUCUCGAUGACUUGAUUAACGAAAUAGGACCUAGAUAUUUAGUUCAUCAUACUCUUUUGAAUUAGUGCGCUAGAAAGGAGAUGUCCCUAAUAGUUAAUAAGUAGGAUUGAUUAUAAGUCUUGGUAUUGAAGAGUGAACCUCUAGGAGUAUUGUAUUAAAUUCUAGUAAGAAACAACCCCACAAGGAAAUGUUUUUAAUAACGUUUAAGACUGGAGUUGACUCAAGCUUCAUCUACCUUCCCCGAAUGGAUCGGACAAAGAAAAAAGGGGUAGUUCUGGCAACAUCAAGUCUCCUGGCUCGUUUUUAAUGGAAAGUAACUAACUUGUUUAAUUAUCUCCAGAUUUAAAAGGUUAUAGGCAUUAUUCUGUCCCAAAAAUGUUUGUGUUGUAUAUUGGAGUAUCUCGCACUACACGUCUUAUUGUUACAUUUAUAUGUUAGAUAACCUGAUAGUGUUACCUCAAGCUUCACUAUCAAGAAAACCCCAAAACGAAAAAUUCUUAACAACGCUUAAAACUAGAGUUGAAUAAGUCUUCAAGGUCUCAACCUCGAUAAAUCAGACGAAGAGAGGGGUAGUUCUUGCAGCAUCGAGUCCCCUGGCUCGUUUUCGAUGGAAAGUAGUUAACUGGUUCAACUAUCUCCGGACCUAGAAGGUCGUAAGCAUUAUUCAACCCCGGGAGCUCGAUUGCGCGAAACGGAUGGUAUACGAUCUGAAAAGAGAAAGAAGAAAAACCACGCGGAACGGCUAGAAAAAGAAACGAAACGAUUUCAUCGAAUGAGGUCUGGGUGAGUUCAAUGCCUCUCCCUCUCUCUUUUCAUCCGUGGAAAAGACGGCGAUGGUUGCGGUGGUCGGCUACCGAGAGCAACACAUGCAUCGACACCUCCACGAUUACUCAUGUCCGGGCGAGGCGAUCAACGCGAAACAGAAAGCAAUUCGACCUCGGCCGGAACCAAACUCAAGGACCAAUUAUCCAGCUACUGGUAGAUCGUUUUGCGAUCUAGGCGUCACGCGGUGCGGCAAUCGGUAGACAAAAAUUGAAAAACCAACUAGUGGUGUGACAGAAUUGGCCAUUUUCGUUCGAAGACAUUUUCCCUAGGGCGAACUAAAACUGGAAUAGGAAGUGUGAGGGAAUUAUUGUGUUUUGUCCAGUUUUACAAUCUCUAGGAAGUAAUAUUAUCAUUUUUGUUAAUAUCACAAUAAAAUAUCAGUAUGAAGCGAA